rnacentral:rRNA from 1 species
GCUGGCGGCGUGCUUAACACAUGCAAGUCGAACGGUGAAGAGGAGCUUGCUCCUUGGAUCAGUGGCGAACGGGUGAGUAACACGUGAGCAAUCUGCCCUUGACUCUGGGAUAACUGCGGGAAACUGUAGCUAAUACCGGAUAUUACCUUGGAAGGCAUCUUCUGGGGUGGAAAGAAUUUUGGUCAAGGAUGAGCUCGCGGCCUAUCAGCUAGUUGGUGAGGUAAUGGCUCACCAAGGCGACGACGGGUAGCCGGCCUGAGAGGGUGACCGGCCACACUGGGACUGAGACACGGCCCAGACUCCUACGGGAGGCAGCAGUGGGGAAUAUUGCACAAUGGGCGCAAGCCUGAUGCAGCAACGCCGCGUGAGGGACGACGGCCUUCGGGUUGUAAACCUCUUUUAGUAGGGAAGAAGCGACUGGGUUUUCCUGGGAGUGACGGUACCUGCAGAAAAAGCACCGGCUAACUACUUGCCAGCAGCCGCGGUAAUACGUAGGGUGCAAGCGUUGUCCGGAAUUAUUGGGCGUAAAGAGCUCGUAGGCGGUUUGUCGCGUCUGCUGUGAAAACCCGAGGCUCAACCUCGGGCCUGCAGUGGGUACGGGCAGACUAAAGUGCGGUAGGGGAGAUUGGAAUCCUGGUGUAGCGG